CAUGACCUCCUUGACCUCUGUCCUGCAAAUGUGAAACGGGUGGAUCCUGUAGGACCCCUGCAGGCUCUGUGCAAAUUCAGUUAGAAUGACUCACCAUUCCCCCAAGUAAAUGGUAUUUUUCACUUUUCGGCAACACCGCUUUCUCUUGUACAGUCAGAGCUGUCAGCCCACACAAAAGAGGAGAGUCUGAGGCUUUAGUUUGAUGAACACGUUUAUUAUGAUGGGAUGAGCAUCAGAGCCCGCAGCUCUUGGCCCUGCUGGUGGCAGAGGCUUUGUACCGUGUGACAGUGACCUGAAUAUGGAAGCAGAAGGGAGCUUCUAAGGAACGGAUGCUGAGAGUCUCUUGUCCUGGCCUGGACACUGGGGUUCAGCAAGAGAGAGACGCUGCAAGGUGCAUCACAGAUGAUCCUGGGACAGAUGGAUCUUGGCAUCACGGAUGGCAGCAUUCACUCCACUGGCCCCAGAGGAGACGGCUAAUGACCACAGCUGGCAGCAUUGCUGCCUCCUCAGGACUUGAGUUACUGGAUGUCGGAGGCUCACAAAGUGCUCUUUCUGAAGGAAAAGGUAAUUACAGUGUUUAAGAGCAGCUCCAGGAAGUGUGUAUGGAUUCUAUAGCUUUGUUUUCUUCUCUCUGGCUAAUAGAAAUCAUCCAGCCCUCCCAAGGAGGCCGCCUUGGGGCCAAAUCCCCAAAGUGGCAGGCAGUCCCCUGAGAAAGCAUUUCUUUGAUUAAAAAAAAAAACACCAAACGUAAAACCAUUUA
rnacentral:lncRNA from 10 species